AACGAACGCUGGCGGCAUGCCUAACACAUGCAAGUCGAACGAGACCUUCGGGUCUAGUGGCGCACGGGUGCGUAACGCGUGGGAACCUGCCCUUAGGUUCGGAAUAACUCCCCGAAAGGGGUGCUAAUACCGGAUAAUGUCUUCGGACCAAAGAUUUAUCGCCUUUGGAUGGGCCCGCGUUGGAUUAGCUAGUUGGUAGGGUAAAAGCCUACCAAGGCGACGAUCCAUAGCUGGUCUGAGAGGAUGGGCAGCCACACUGGGACUGAGACACGGCCCAGACUCCUACGGGAGGCAGCAGUGGGGAAUAUUGGACAAUGGGCGAAAGCCUGAUCCAGCAAUGCCGCGUGAGUGAUGAAGGUCUUAGGGUUGUAAAGCUCUUUUACCCGGGAUGAUAAUGACAGUACCGGGAGAAUAAGCUCCGGCUAACUCCGUG
rnacentral:rRNA from 1 species